UCCAUAUUCUUCAUUCUCCUCCUGUCUGACUCUUCCUCCCUUUCUCUCUCUACAACAAUACUAUCAAAUUGAGAGAGAGAGAGAGAAUGGGAGGCCAGAAAUUCGGCAUCCUCCUCUGCGCCGAUGACUCCGAAUACGUGAAGAAGCUCUACGGCGGAUACUACGGCGUGUUCGUGAGGAUGCUGAAGGAGGAGGGUGAGAGCUGGGACCUUUUCAGGGUGGCGAGGGGCGAUUUCCCCGCCGACGAUCAGAUCGCCGAUUACGACGGCUUUGUCAUCAGCGGCAGCUGCAGUGACGCCUACGCCGACGACCUCUGGAUCUGCAACCUCCUCAUUCUGCUCAACAAGCUUCGCGCCAUGAAUAAGAAGCUUCUCGGUAUUUGCUUCGGUCAUCAGAUACUAGGACGAGCUAUUGGAGGAAAGAUUGGGAGGGCUAAAGGAGGAUGGGACAUUGGAAUCACGCAAGUUCAACUUUAUCCAUCAAAGAUAUUCACAUCUCUCAAUCUGCCUACUUCACUUUCCAUCAUUGAAUGCCAUAGGGAUGAGGUCUUGACCCUCCCACCGGAGGCAGAGGUGCUAGCAUGGUCUGAGAGGACCGGAGUCGAGAUGUUUAGGUAUGGAGAUCACAUCAUGGGCAUCCAAGGCCAUCCCGAAUACACAAAGGGCAUCCUCUCGAACCUUAUUGACCGCCUCUCCAAUUGCCAAUUCAUUGAGGAGUCCGUUGGGGAAGAGGGUAAGACGAGGAUGGAGAAGAGCGAGCCAGAUAUGGACGUAUGGUGGAAACUGUGCACGAGCUUUCUGAAAGGGAGAUUGUGAUGGAUCACAAAAAUGAGACAAGGAUGUAAACUAUAGAUCAAGUCUUAAGCAGGUCCAGUACUUAUUUGGUGGUGCUGAUGCGUCCACGUAGCAGCCUUCACAUGGAUCGCGCUCCGUGACCGUUGGAUUGAUGUGUGUGUUUGUUAUGAGUCUCUAGACUCAUCCGAUUCUCAUUCAUUCGAUUCCAGGCGUUUCUCUCUCUCUCUUGUAAACUCCGACUUCUCUCACCUCUCUCUAGAUUCCGGCCUCUCUCGCCGGCGAUCUUCUCCGAUAUUUUAUUUCCACCGUUGAUUCUCGGUUCUAGAGAGUGUCAUCGGUUUAGAUCUUGAGUGUGUGAGUUCUUGAGUGCUCCUUCUCAGAUAUAGGGUUUAGUCCAACUUCUGUGUUGGAUCUUGUGAUUGGAGGUUUCUUCUGAGGUUCUCUGGGUUGAGAAGCUGUGUUCCAAGAGAUGGGAGGUGAUUCAUGUGUUGAGAAGGCUGUGUGGUAGUGUACUCGGUGAAACUGUGGAUCUGGUUCCCUGAGUAUAUUCGACUGGUUCUCACUUUGUGACUUGUGGUAGAAGCGUGUGGGGAGGUCCUUGGCCUAGUGCAGUCACCGUUGUAACCUGAGCCAUAUCCUUGCUAUUUUGUCUUAGUUGCUGUUUCUUGUCUUACUUAGAUCCGAAAGGAUCUUGUGUUAGUGUUCUAACUUGUCUAUCUUAAGUGUGCAGGUUCUAAUUGGCGAGAACUUGGUUUCCAGAUUGGUCAAGAUUCUGGAAAGAGUUAGGGUUCCAAUUAGGGUUACAAUCUGUAAUAGCUAGACUCCUUAGUGUUGUAGAUUACUUGUAAUCUUGUAACAACUCUUGUACUUGGCUUGUAACUUCUGAGAUUAGCCAUCUCAGAGAUCGUUCAAUAAAAGAGGUCCCGGUAAUUAGCGAAUCCCGAGUGAUCUGAUCCCUAUAGUGGUAACAGAGCCCUAGUUCAGGGUUGGGCCUGUGUGGCUCGCGGUUCUGUGGUUGCGCUUGCAAGUUCUCCAAUGUCUCUGCGUGAGCUCAACCAAGACCUGUGGUGACAGGGUGACCUGUAACAUGAGGCACACAUGUGGUCUUGGUCUGGUGGUCUUGGUUUGAGGGGAGGAUUGUGAGGGCAAACAAUUCCCACAUUGGAGAAUGAACAAGACUUGCAAGUGUAUAAAUGGGCUACCCCAACUGUAUUAGUAUGAGGCCUUUUGGGAAGUACCCCAAGAACAAGGGCUUUGCCCAAAGCAGACAAUAUCAUACUAAUUUCUAGUUCGGAUGUGUGCCAUCGGGACCCAACAGUACAGAAUGAGUACAAAUGCAAUAUAGCUUGGCUUGAUGAUGUAUUCUU